GACGAACGCUGGCGGCGUGCUUAACACAUGCAAGUCGAACGGAAAGGCCUGCUUUCCCUUGUGGAUUGCGGGUACUCGAGUGGCGAACGGGUGAGUAACACGUGAGUGAUCUGCCCCCAACUUGGGUAUAAGCCUGGGAAACUGGGUCUAAUUCCCGAUAGGACUGCAGGGUGGUGCCUGUGGUGGAAAACGAUUUUCUAGUGGUUGGGGAUGAGCUCGCGGCCUAUCAGCUUGUUGGUGGGGUAAUGGCCUACCAAGGCGGCGACGGGUAGCCGGCCUGAGAGGGUGGACGGCCACAUUGGGACUGAGAUACGGCCCAGACUCCUACGGGAGGCAGCAGUGGGGAAUAUUGCACAAUGGGCGGAAGCCUGAUGCAGCGACGCCGCGUGGGGGAUGACGGCCUUCGGGUUGUAAACUCCUUUCGACCGCGAGGAAGCCACCUGGUUGGAAGGGUGGUGACGGUAGUGGUAGUAGAAGCACCGGCUAACUACGUG
rnacentral:rRNA from 1 species